rnacentral:rRNA from 1 species
UUCGGGAGAGCGAGUAGAGCGGCAGACGGGUGAGUAACACGUGGAUAACCUACCCCAGAGCGGGGGAUAACCACCCGAAAGGGUGGCUAAUACCGCAUAAGACCACGGUUUACGAGACAGUGGUAAAAGGCUUCGGCCACUUUGGGAGGGGUCCGCGGUCGAUUAGCUAGUUGGUGAGGUAACGGCUUACCAAGGCGACGAUCGAUAGCUGGUCUGAGAGGAUGAUCAGCCACACUGGUACUGAGACACGGACCAGACUCCUACGGGAGGCAGCAGUGGGGAAUAUUGCGCAAUGGACGAAAGUCUGACGCAGCAACGCCGCGUGGGUGAAGAAGGUUUUCGGAUCGUAAAGCCCUGUCAGAUGGGAAGAAACCUGCUAGUCAGCUGACGGUACCAUCAAAGGAAGCACCGGCUAACUCCGUGCCAGCAGCCGCGGUAAUACGGAGGGUGCAAGCGUUGUUCGGAAUCACUGGGCGUAAAGGGCGCGUAGGCGGCCUGUCAAGUCUGAUGUGAAAGCCCGGGGCUCAACCCCGGAAGUGCAUUGGAAACUGGCAAGCUUGAGUUCGGGAGAGGAGGGCAGAAUUCCUGGUGUAGGGGUGAAAUCCGUAGAUAUCAGGAGGAAAAUCAGUGGCGAAGGCGGCCCUCUGGAACGAAACUGACGCUGAGGCGCGAAAGCGUGGGGAGCAAACAGGAUUAGAGACCCUGGUAGUCCACGCCGUAAACGAUGGAUGCUAGGUGUGGGGAUCAUUAAGGAUUUCCGUGCCGGAGCUAACGCGAUAAGCAUCCCGCCUGGGGAGUACGGUCGCAAGACUAAAACU